UCUGCCAUUUGAGCAGGACUCAGUGCAGAAGGCUUGCCUCUCUUCUCCACGUGCGAGCCAGUCGUGACCAAGGCUGGAGGAUGCAACAUGGCUUCACUCACUCAUCCGGGGCUGGGCACCUUGGCGCUCCUCUAGGAGACUUUUUCUAGCAGUAUAGCCUGAACGUCCUUACUUGGAGGCUUUCUCAUACCUUUAUAGAUAUAAAAGUUUAUACACGAGGAGAACACAAUUAGGAAUAAGUUCAUCAACAUUUUCUUGUUGGCCUUCUUUAGAUACAUGGCUGUUUUGAUUGAAAGUUGAGAUCUCAAAUUUUGAAAGUCAGCAUUUAAAAAUAAUGUUGUCACAUCCAUACAAUGUGAAUUAAUGCUCUAAAAGAGGGCAAGUUUAUAGUGUAUUUUUAUACGUUGUGUUACUUAGGCUGAGGGUAAGAGACUCCUCUCCCUCCGCCCCCAAUGAAAUCUCUACAAGUGCUUGAAAUUCCACCAGGAGGGAUUAUUUGUUCAAGCAUUGCUCAUUUUCACUGGAUUCUUACGUAGCAAAUGCUUCUAGGAAGGGAAGGGUGGAACUAAGUAGCACUGUACUAUGAAUAAUUUAGAAGAAUAGUCUUCUCAGAGAAUCCUGAGAGUCCUGGAUGCCUUUGGAAGAAGGGGGUGCUGAAGGCAGGAGCUUGGCCAGAUGGGGGUGGGGGCCUAAGAUUGGUUAAGAUAGAGUUACCGAACCUCAAUUUCUCUACCUCGUACUGCUGCUUACUUGGGUGGCAUGCGUUAGGCUUAUGUGAUGUUAACACAACCGAUUUCGUACCGACUUUUUAUUGUGGAGAGAACAUUUUGUUCCUAUAAUAUGAUAUCAUACAUUCUUUGUGUGUGUGUCUUUUUCCCUAAACACUUCCCCACAAAGAGUAUUUCUUUACCCCUAAAAUAGCUCCAGCUGCCUGCUGGAGAUUUUUCUCUUAUGAUAACUUUGAGCUUUUGUGAUUUUCCUUUGGAACGGACUAUCUCCUCCAGCCCUUCCCUCUCACCCUAGUUUCCAAGGUCCAGAAGACAGUGCUGGCGUUCUUCUGGUGCUCUGAACUCGCCGGUCCACUGUGGGAAAAUUCCGGCUGGGGCGGAGACGUGCUGCUGGCUCUCCAGGUGUUGAAUGGACCGCAGAGGGGAGCUGCCCUGCAGCCUGUGUUUUCCUCAUUUGAAUAGCAAGCUUAUUUCCGUCUUUGAUUUCCUUAAGGGCACUGGGUCUCUCCUUUUCACGUCUCCCUUCACCCAGUGAAAACUAAUCCAACUCAGAAGCCCCGAAGAGUUAUAUUCUCAGGAGCUGCCUUUGUUCGAGGAGCUAAUACUGUGCAGAGCUGUGAUUUUAUUAUUCCUGCAGAAAGCCAGAGCCUGUUCGCUGCUUCAGAUGAAAAGCUCUGUGACUAACAGGAUUCUUUCUUCAUUGCUUUCUUUUUUUGGGUUACAUUUCUCCCAUUAGCUGCCAGGUUGUUUCACAACAUUUCUCCCGGCUGAAGUGAUUUAUCACACAGAGUGAAGAAGUGGGGACUGUCUGCUUUCCUUUGACCCCCUGACAGCAGGGCUUCUACUCCUGCAAUCAGCACAGGCCCACGGCCCAUUACUUAGGGGGUGUGGGCCGAGCAAAGGAAACCUGACUCACAGCUGUUACCGUUCUGGAGAAGUCCCGGGAUAGGGGUGGUGAGCCAGUUGGGGUGCAGCCUGCCUCCUGGUUCUCCCUCCUAAAGCCAAAGGCUCUUGGAAGACAAGCCUUGGUUUUGCAGCCAAACUAGAGAUGGAGGUCCUUCUGCUGUAGUCCUGGGGAUCUACUCCCUAUGGAUUUUACAGUUAGCUGGCGGCUGCUGUCAUGAGAGUGACCGGGAUUCUCUCUUUUAAGCCUCCGUGUAGGCUCCCACCCCCAACUCCCUAAGCUGGUUGGCAGGAUCCCAGGGGAUACCCACAGGCUAUUGAAGACCCCUCUUGUUUGAGUGUCCUGUGUUGCUCUCCUUAGUCCCUCUUUUCUUCCCAGCCACUUCAUAGAGACAAGCAUGUUUUUUUGAAAAUAAGUGGCAGUCGGGCAAAUCCAAUGGGUAGCUUAGUGUCAUGACAGUAGCUGAAGAACCAGGUGAUAAAGACACUCUAGUCUUGACAGUUUGCAGAGGUCCACCUGAAAAACAGGUGAGCCAUGGGCAAUGAAUGAACUGGACAAAAGUGCUCAUUUGCUCACGAGGUGGCCCAACUGGAUGUCAACAGAUGCAGAACAAAUGUAAAUACCGUCCCUGGUAUCCCCUUGGGGAAAUCUGUGCUGACGGGUUCUCCAGCCUCCAGCCUCUGUGCACGGGCUCCAGGGAACACCUAGAACCACCCCAGUGUCUCGCUCAGUGUGCUCUAAACGUGUAACCAGGACAAGAGAAACCAUGCUGAGCAUUUGAAACAGAGGGAAUUUGAUGCAGGUAAGUAUUUACCUGGGAGACAAAGAGCUGCGGAGCCAGACAAUGGACGGUGAGAUAACCUGAAGAAUGGGAACAGCUAGAAGCCACCGCUCCUACUUCUAAGCUGGAGGUCAAGGGUGGGGGGCAGGGAGGUGCUUUUUCACUAAGGAGGAGGAGGCCUGAGGGGCCUGUGGUGGAAAACCACUGUGCGAGUCUGUCUGCUGAAAGAUGGAGCCAGAGAGGAGAUACCAGAGACACUACACUGCCUUAGGCAGAGAGGGAGGGGGCGAAGUCCCCUGGGAAACACCGCUCACAAGGGUCAGUCUCCUGCGACCCAGCGCAGGGCAGCAGAGAUAAGGGCUGGCGCAGGCAAGAAGCCGUGUGUGUGUGUGUGUGUGUGUGUGUGUGUGUGUGUGUGUGUGUGUGUGAGAGAGAGAGAGAGAGAGAGAGAGAGAGAGAGAGAGAGAGAGAGAUGGGAGGAGAUCAGAAUCAAGUCUCACUGGGAGAAACCUAGUGUCUGCAGUGCCAGAAGGGACUCCUGGCUGCCCUGACUCCUGCCGUAUAGUUCUCGCUAGGAAUGCGGGGCACAUGGAUGUAUGCAUUUAUUCAGGAAUCACUGAACUAUAAUAUUUAAAUCGUACCUCAAUAAAAUGUAAAAAUACACACACACAAAGACUAUUAGGCUCUGGAGUCACACUGUCUGUUUGCUACUAGCUAGCUGUUCCAGACUGAACUGUGUCCCCUCCUCCCACCUCCCAAAUUCAUAUGUUGAAGCCUUAACUCCCGAUGUGACUGCAUUGGGAGAUAGGGCCUUUAAGAAGGGCACUAAGGAUAAGUGAGGUUAUAAGGGUGGGUCCCUAAUCUCAUAAGACUAGUGUCCUUGUAAGAAGAGAAAGAGAAACCAGUGAUCUUUCGCUGCACAAAGGAAAGGCUGUGUGAGGACAGCAAGAAGGCAGCCAUCUGCAAGUCAGGAAGAGAGGCUUCACCAGAAACCAACCCUGCCAAGCACAGUGAUCUUGGUUUUUCAGCCUCUAAAAUGCUGAGAAAAUAAAUUUUUGUUUUUAAAUCACCCAGGCUGUGGUAUUCACUACAGCAGCCUGAGCUGACUAAUAGACUAGCUGUGUGACUUUGAGCAAAUCACACAACUUCUGUCUACCUUAUUGCUUCAUCCGAAAAAUGGAGAUAACGAAGUUCCCUCCUCACAGAUUUUGGGGACAAUUAAGUGAGAUAGGAGUUCAGAGUACUCAGCAUGAAUUAUCAUGUGUAGCUCUUACUCUUCAUACCCCUGCAUUUCUGCCUCAGUCUCCCUGCCUGGAAUUCUGGGUCUCACCUCUCCUCAGAUGCUGUCUCCAGCCCCCUAGCCUCACACAAGAUCUUGCCUCUCCCUGUGUCCUCUUCCUGGCAUCCUCCAGCUGACAUGUGGGGUCCUGUUGGCAUUGCUCAGACUGUCACCUGCCUUUCUUUUAGCUGUCUGUGCUCCACUUGCUGACACCCUCUCCACCCUGAGAAUGUCAUGUCCCUACAACUAUGUGCUUUAGUCCAUUCAUCAAGUGGCUUGUGGCUGAGCCAGCUGUAUUGGUUUCCCAUGACCCUGUCCUUUCUGGUCCUGGCUGCAUCCCACCAGCCCGGGUGCUUGGGUUGGCCCGGCAUACUUCCUACCUCCGGCAGCUCUCCAGGCCACUUGCACAGACUCAUGGAGCUGUGGCAGCCCCAGAUUUCUUUUUUUUUUUUCUUUUAAAUUUUUAUUUUUUAAAUUUUAUUCAUUUGAGAGAGAGAGAAGAAUGAGUGAAAAAGCGCAAGCCUGGAGAGGGAGAAGCAGACCCCCUGCUGAGCAGGGAGCCCAACUCAGGGCUUGAUCCCAGGACCCUGGGAUCAUGACCUGAGCCGAAGGCAGAUGCUCAACUGACUGAGCCACCCGGGCAGCCCAGCUCUAGGCUUUUCUGUCUAGAAAUGCAUUGGGCUGGAAAGGGGUGAGUGGAUGAGCUUGCUUUGGUAUGUAGCAAAGUGCUCUUUCGUGGUUUUUUUUUUUUUUUAACUUACAUUGUGGACUUAUUUGGGGGUGGAUUUGGGGAGAAAUAAUGAAAAUUAUGAAUGUUUGUAGGGUUGGGGGGUAUGGUAACAGGCAGAUUGGAGACAACUUCCUAGCAUCAGUCCCUUACUGGGCACAUUGUUGCGAGUUUUAUGUGGUAUUAGAAUCCAUGGUUGUCUGUGUGAGGUUUGUUGCGUCAUUUGUAAGCAGUGGUUUUCAGGUUUGCAGUGAAUCAUGUCUAUUAGUUUCCAAUAACCUUAUAUCUCAAAUUUAACAGCGCAAACCAACACACACGUGUUAUCUCACAGUUUCUGAAGUUUUUAGUCUUUUAAAAUUGCACAAAUGAUACAAGCUGGUAAUAACAAGCUUAAACACUGAGAAGUUUAUAAAGCAAAAAUGAUAACAUAUGCCCUUAUUCCCCUGUAUUCUAACUCUCCUGGAGAAAUGAUUACUGGUCGCUGUGAGUACAUCUAUACACAUUUUUUGCAGGAUUAGAUGAACAUACGCUCAUAGGAUACAUUCCUCCCCCCUUUUUUUUUGAAACGAGAAUGAGCUCACACUUCAAUUAGGUGGGACUUCUGUUUGCAAGUGAUAGAAACUCUGCAUCAACCAUUUUUGGCAAAAAGAGGAAUUUAGUGGCAGAAGAAUUUAAACCACAGGACUCAAUGUCUCUGUUUUUCUCUCUGCUUCUCACAGACCAGCAUUCUCUACAAGCUGGAACUCUGGUCACCAGAGGCUGCCUGGCUCCCAAUGCCAGGCUUCCCCACGCAGAGGGCUUACCCCUUGCCUUUAGCUCUAAAUAAAGCAUUCCCAAGAAGGACGUUGACUGGCCGUAUCAUUUAAAGUACUUUUGGCUGCAAAUAACAGAAACCCCAACUGUGAGUGACUUAGUAGAGAUUUGUUCUUUUCAUGGAACAAGAUGUCUAGAGGUACACAGUUGUUCUGGAGCCCAGGGACGCCAUGCUUCUGCAUGCACCUGUUUCUUGGCCAUUCUCUUGGUCCUCCCCUCAGGGUUGCAAGAUGGGUACAAGAGCUCUACACAGCACAUUCUCAUCUGACAGUGUCUUUCUUUACCUGGCUUCUCUCUGAAGCAAAACCCAAGACACAGGCUGUCGUGCUGUGGCCCAGAGAGGUGAUGGCAGGAAGCAGAAGUAAGGACUGAGGGAGUGAAUCUGGGAAAGAGGGACAGCCAACAUAAGGAAGCUUUACUGAGUGGGAUGGGGCUGUGGGCGUCCUGCUAGCACCUUCUUAGGGGCCUUAUGAAAUCUAUCUCUAGGACCGUCUGCUGGGGGACAACGAGGGAAACAUUCCUCUAUCGGCAUCUUCUCUCCUCCCCUAACUAAACAGUAUGACGAUGGACAUGUUUUCCAGUCACUGUGUGUGUAUAUGGUAUACUCAGUUUGUGGCCGCAUUGUUAGACAGAUGGGCCACACUUGUCUACUGUAUUAUUGGGAGUUCAGACUGAAGUCCUGGUUUUAUAUGAAGUUGUCACAAACGUUGAAAGGAGCAUGGCUUCCCUCCCCUCCUCCUGGUCCCAGAACUGAGGGACUUUUAUCUCAUUUCAAGGCUUUGGCACUUUGAAAAAUAAAGCAAUAUUUCAUCUUGCCAAAACAUAAGUAUUUCACACUAACCUAUUCAGAACAAAAAUAGAAAAGAGGUAAAAAUAGCUUCUGAGUAGCCAAAUAGAUGUCAAAGAGUUACAAAUUUCGGCUGGACCGGGCAGCCCUGUGUGCGAUGUCACUCUGGUUUGGGCUGAAAUCUCACACACUUGCAAGAGAGAGCUUUGAUAGGACCCUGUUUAACCUCAUUUUACUUACAAUUCUAACUAGCUUGGUAUCCUAGUUACUAUUUCCACAAAUGAGAAGGGGAAGGAAGCUGCUAAAGGAAGCCACACUGCCAACUCAAAUCAAAAAAGGGACCACGGACGGUAACAAAAACAAAACAGCAGAAACAAUAACGCAAAACCUUUUAAAAAAAUGUCCCAAACAUGCAAAAGAAUACUGAUAUUCUGCUACCAUGGAACAGGAAAAUAAUGGAGGCUCCCAGCCAGAAAGAAUUGUUACAGUCACAUUCAGAGUCCUCUUGACAAGGCAUGGAAAUGAAGAAUUUAUUUUAUGCUGUUGUAUCUUUUCAUGCAGUAUUGAUUCAGUAUGAUUGUUCUUUUUGUGCAAUAUUUUGGAGAGAUUUCCCAAUAUGUAGGUUUCAAAUGAUGAAAAAAGUUGAUUCUAAAAUCUCUGGGGAACAUCAGUGUCCAAACAACUGGUUUCCAUGGAGUUUUAGCCACAAAAUCUCCUCCAGCAAACUGGUUGGGUAACCAUAGAGUGAUUUCUCUACCUCUCUGCGUAAGGGGGGGGAUUUUGACCAGCCUCCUCCUCUAAUUCAGGCCAGCAGUGCUGCAUUUCAUGAGUGCCCUGGGACAGUCAUUAGCCAUCCUUGUACAGUGGUGGGUUAAGGUUGGUAGGCAAAUGUGGAGGCUUGUAUCCAUCCUCCUAGAAAUUUUCCAGAAAUGUUUGAGGUGAGCUGGAAUGGAGGGGCAAGAAAAUAAUUUUUUGUUAACCAGGAUAUUAGUGUGUUUGUGAGUGUGUGUGCUUGUGUGUGUACCCGCUCACUUGAAAUUGGCUUAUAGCAUUGAAUAGAGAAUUUUUUUUUUGCUUUGUUCCAGAAUCUUGUUACUUAUUACUGUUAUUACUGGCAUCAAUGUUACCACUCCAUUUUGUCCAUUCACUGUUAUUUCUUCCUUUGUUCUUCCUGUUUUUUGUUUUGUUUUGUUUUACAUGUUGCAGUAGACAAAAGAAUGUCCCCCCAAAAAGAUACAUGUCCUAAUCACCAGAAACAGUGUAUAUGUUGUAUUACAUGGUGAGAGGAUUUAAGGUUGCAGGUGGAAUUAAAAUUGCUAAUCAGCUGGCUUUAAAAGAAUGAGAUUAUCCUGGAUUACCUGGUAGGCCAAAUGUAAUCACAAGAUUCUUUAAGGGAGCAAAGCAGAGACAAAAAAGAAAAAGAGAAAUGGCACUGUGAGAAAGACCUGCCUUUGAUGACUUUGAAGAUGGAAGGGACUCACCAGUUGAGUACAGCCUCUAGCAGCUGGAACCGGCGAGAAAAAUAGAAUCUCUUCUACAGCCUCCGGAAAGGAAUGCAGCCCUGCCAAAACCUUGCUUAGCCCAGUGAGACCCACUUUGAACUUCUGACUUCCAGAACUCUGAGAUAAUAAAUUUAUGUUGUUUUAAGCCACGGAGUUUGUGGCAAUUUGUUCCAGCAGCAGUAGAAAAAGGAAUGCACAUUUAAGACAUAUUUAUGAAGUGUUUACUGUGUGCUCACCAUUGUGUAUGGGGAGAAGAGACAAUAGUAAUGUCAACGUUGUCACACCUUCUCACAAGUGAUUGAUGGUUCAGAAGAUGAAAUAAGGCUUUAUUUCUGUUAUACAGGCCUUUAGCUGUCAUUGUGUAAUGCUCCUAGUUGCACAGGUAACUUGAUGAAUCUUAUCACCCACAUUUAUUAGUGCCCUUUCUCUGCUAGAAGCUGCGUGUGCAAUGAUAAGGGAGAUAGACUGAUGAACAGUUACUUAAUAUAACCAAGAAGAAUUCUUCCUCUCUGCUACAACGCAAUCUGCUCCUCCUGCCAUCGUUUUCUAAUCUCUCAAUUCCCCAAACUCCAGAUCUACAAAGUAGCUGGAGCAGAGGUUUUCACCCAGUGGUGUAUGUGGUGGUUGUGGUGGGUGUGAAGGGGCAGGUGAAAAUACAAUGCCUAGACCUGCCCCUGGAGAUUCUGGCUCAGUAGUCUGAAGAAGCGUUUGGCUAUAGGUUUUUUUGGGUGAAAGCUCCCAAUGUAAUUCUUUACCUUGCUUUAGAGAGUGAGAGAAAUAUAACACUAAUGGUUUACAAAAAUUACUUGUUAAAUUUUUUUUGUUGUUAUAAUAUAGGUGGUACCAUGUUAUUUAAUUACAAUGUGAUGCAAUUAUAAAUUCCCAACAAGAGAGUCAUUCAAAAUCUGCAUUUGGGAAUUAACAAAGCACACUCCUGAAUAAUUCAUUUUGGGGAUGAAGAGGGAGUCAGGGUGAAAUUGCAAAAUAUUCAGAAUGAAACCACAGUGAUAGUGGUAUGCAUCAAAAACCAUAGAAAGCAGCCAAAGUGACAUUCAGAGGGAAAUGUAUAGCCUACAGGUGAUUAGAAAACAAGAAAGCUUGAACAUAAAGUACCCAGCUUAAGAAGAUACAAAAGGCACAACAAAAAUUAAUCCUAAAGAGUGGGUGAGUUUGCAGAAGAUUACAUAUAAAAGCAAAAUUAAUGAGCAAAAUAAUCUCAGUGGCAUUGGUUAAUGAGACCCAAAGUUUGUUCUUUAAAAAAAUGAAUAAAACAUUCUUUGGUUAUGAUAAAUAAAUGGUAGCAGUAAUAGUAGCAGUGGUGGUAGUGGUUGUAGCAAUAAGCAUCUAUAAUGCUCUGUGUCAUGUGCUUCCCUACAUUUCUGGACACUCUUUCCCGUGAGUGACAUGCUGGCCGCUGAACUGGCAGCACAGCCACGUUGUGCAAUGCUGAGCCAAAGCAUUUAAGAGCCUCUGUUUGAUCCUCCCUCUCCCUCUCUUCCCCUUCCUUUGAUGUGCGCUUGAAAGCCAGGUGCCGAGAUAGCGAAGCCAUUCCAUGGAAGCAGCCUGGGUGACUGUCCAGGAUGACUGACAUCCCCAAAUGAAGGACAGAUGCUCUGGGGAAUUGCUCAAUUGACAUGGCCCUCUGUGUGAGCAAGAAAUUAAGUCACUGACUCAUGUUUUAAUGUAGCACAGCCUGGCUCACCCUGACUAAUUCAUGUUUCAUAAAAUGUGGCCUUUCUAGAGGAUCUCUCGAUUGUUUGAUACAUAUUCGUAACGUAGCCAAUGUAUUGUGAACGUGGAAGUGCAGGGAGUGAGUGGAAAAGGAGGGAGAAGCUGAGCUCUUCAAAGUUAAUUAUUUUUCCUGUUUGUUGCCUGACAAAUGUACCUGAUGUCUCAAUCAGUUACCAAGACUUACCGGCCCAGGUUGUUUGUGUCCACGAAUAUACGUCUACCUCAAAUCCUGUAGAAGGGAGGGAAAGAUAGUAAAACUCAGCAUCAGCUCUUUUGUGGAUUUCUAACUCCAAUGGACUAUUCAUGCGAUUUAUCACGAUUAAGUCAUUGCAGCAUUUUUUUCACCAAAAUGCGAACAUGGAAACAAAACGCAACCAACAGGUCGCUGCAUUAAAUGACCUAUAACUGAAUUAGAGCUGAUUUCGCUGCUCAUUCUCAUGUUCAGAGUGCAAUAGAGCAAGCCGUUCAUUCGCAUUCAUUGAAACACUAGUUCCAUGUUAUUUGUACAGGAAUGUUUUAAAGGAUCAUAUUUCUGAAAUGUAUGGAAUAUUGAAGCAUGCAGUGGUUUGGCAUAUGAAGUCAGCUUGUCUGAGUUCAUAUCCCAACUCCACCACCUUACUAGCUAGGUGAACUUGGGCAUUGUUUAACCACUUUGAGCCUCAGUUUCCCUUUCUGUAGGAUGGGAGUAACAAGAGUUACCACCACCUCAAGGGGUUGUGGUGGGGAUUGGAAGUGAUACUCUAUGGAAGCUGCUCAACAGGUGUUGUCUGGAUGCUGGUGGUGGUGAUGGUGCUGCUCAUGGCUGAGCAGGUUUGAGAGUAGUCUGGCCAUACAUGGCUGGCACUCACGAGCCACUCUGCCUCUUACUACCUGUGUAUCUUUGAGCCACUUACCCUCUCUCAUUUGCAAUUUUCUCACGUAUGAAUGAGGAUAAUUAUAGUUAUCUGGUACACCUGUUGGGAAGAUUAAGUCAGAUAGAAUAUUACAAAUAGUGUUUAGCUCAGAGACGGGUACACAAGGCACUCAACAAAUGACAGCUAUUAUUAUGAAAACGAGAAAUUGGAAAACUGCUAUUUAGUUUACCUAGAUAGCAUAAAUAUCUUUCAAAACAAUAUUCUGUGUUACCCUGCUCUUGUACUCCUUCCUGUGGCCUUAAACAGCACUAUUAUUAUCCUCCGAAUUACAGGUCAGAUUCUGAUACCAAGAAUUCCCGUAUGCUCUCUGAUAUAUAUAUAUAUUUUUUAAUAUCUUGAUUUCAUGAAGUUUCACACCUGGAAACUUGAAAAUCUUUUUGUUGCUGUUAUGUAGAUUUGACUCAUCCCUGCUGGGUUUAACUCAGAGUCUGCAUUUUUGUUUUUCUGCUUUUUUCUCCUUUCUUCCUCUUUCUGUCAGUCUUCCUUCUGGUCCUCCCUCCUUGGCUUCUUCCCUUCCUUUUUUAUAAUUAGAUAGACCUCCAAACUGUAAUCCUGGAAACUCCUGCAGCACGAAGGACAAGAUCUGUUCUGUGGAAGAGCAACACUGAGAAAGCGACAUCGAAGCUAACACUGACUUUUUUUGGAUACCAGAUGUCCAUUUAAUGGUCAUCUACUUAGCCAGGCAGAGGCCACCAUGGCUUCUAUGGCUUUUGCUCUCAUUUCUGCUUAAACUUUACAUUCUCCAUAUUCAUUUCAGAUUGCAAACAUUUCAUAAUUUUUAACCUAUUUUUCUUUCUUCAAUGCUACCAUAAGCGUAUUAGCUCCCAACUUUCUCUCUUGCUUACUAAUUUUGUCCUUAAAGAAGAUGGCAAUCAAAAUCCCAUCUCGUCUUGCAAAGUAACUCAACAGUAUAAAAGGGUAUUGCUUUCGGGUCAAAUCCCGGCCACACAGGGGAAAGUGUUCUACGCAAAGCCAACGAUUUUUUCCUUGGAUUCCGAGACUAUAUCUGUUUGUUUGGCACCAAGCUGCAGGGGAAACUGAGUUAUCUAGAUUGUCUCCAAGAAAGAAGAUUCCCACUUUCUGAAAAUGUUGUAUUUUAUUUCUGGAGAAGAAAAAGUACCCAUGGUGUUGAUGCUAAUUUAAUAGUAACAGCUAUUGUGUGGGGCUUAUUAUCUUUUCUCUGAAGAGGGGAGGGUCAUGGUGAGGUUUGAGGAACUGGGGAGAGAAUCCUUUCUUCAGGCACAUCUGACAAGGCUCCUAGAAGAACAACGGUGGGAGAAGCAAGGGCAGGUUUGUGGUCAGCGCCCUUGGCCCUUCUGGGGAGUGGGGGCACAGCUGUGCACUUCCAUUUUGAGGGGGCAAGAUGGCACAAUGGCAAAGAGCACAGGCUCCGGAGGCAGACCUAGCCAGCUCCCAGGGCCAGCUCUCUCAUUUGCUAGUUGUAUGACCUUGUCUAAAUGGCUGAAGUUCACCAAGCCGUGGUGUCCUCAUCAGUGAACGUGGGGCACCAGUGGUGGCUUUCCUUCGGGGCUGUCAUGAGGAUCGAGAGCGCGCACGGAGAGCAUUUCACACAGUGCCAGGCAUGUGGGGAACUCAGUAAAUGUGUAGUAUUGUAGCGGCUGUUUUCAAAUUGCUGUUAUGUUAUUAUCCUUAUUAAAUUCUACAAUUUAAUAAUUUAGUUGAGGAAUGACAGUUUUUCCCCCUCUUUCAAGCAGUCAUGUGAUCCUUGACGUCUACCCCUGGCUUCAAAGCAGCCUUAUUUAAAAUGGCUUAUUGCUUCUCCCGUGUUUUCUGUUUGUUUGACUAUAAAGAGGUUAAGCCAUCCUCUUUCCUUCCUUCCCACUCUUUUUUCUUAUCUGUUUGAAUACAAUAAAACACCUUGCCUACUGUGGGUUUCCCUGUACGCCGCCGCGGCCGGCCGUGUAGACAUCAGAGAAAAGUGGUUGCUUGCUCCUGACAUUUGAAAUGUGGACUUGACUGCAGCGGAUCCCUGCUGAUGAGAAAGAGUUCUAGAACUCUCGGGGGCCUGAUUGCGUGGGUAUAAAGGACUCGGGCUCUGGGUCUCACUAGGGGUGAUAUCAUUUUUUGGAGCCUGGGGACUUUGACGAGCUGUUUUUGGUCUGGUUUCAGGGGACUCCCCAGAUAUCUGUGUGACCUUCUUGGAGGCUUCUUCCUCCCUGGUUAAUUAUGUGCCAGGAUGUGAGAGGAGGGUCAUCUCUGUCCCCCCCCCCCCGCCCCCCGGAUUUUGUCAGCUACACAGAAGCUGGGAGAAGUAAAUGUCAGCCUCUGGCUGAAACUGAGAGGUGGCAAGGAGACAGAGGUCUGAAGACAGACACGGGCAAGUGAAUCCUGAAGCCGCAGGGCUGGGAUAUUUUGGCUUAAAUGACCUGUGACGGCUUUAUCACUUUAUUUUGUUUUUGUGGAUAUGUUUCUUUACUUACAGGAGUGCUUUCACACUGAGGAGAAAAACACAGACUUUUCCUCCCUGUGUUUUCCUUUACUCUCACAUGGCUAUCCCAUUUGCGACGCCUCUGACACUUCUGGUCACCAGAUGUGUGAUCCCAGCAGAAAUUCCCUGAUACUAGUGGUGUUCUACAAUUGAACUCAGUUUGGACGUUGCUUACCUAGAAUCAGGGUCGGAUCCCACAGGUCAAAGUUUCAGUCAGGAGACGGCUCCAUAUCAGAUGCAGAUCAUAGGUCCCCGGUUGCCCACAACUUCUACCCGAUUGGCUAGAAAGUGAACGUUCCCAUGACCCCCUCCUCAGGUUCAAUUAGUUUGCUAGGGCGCUUUACAGAACUCAGGGAAACACGCUUCCCGGUUUAUUAAACAAUGUGUUGAAGGAAACAGAUGAAGAGCCAGGUGAAGAGAUACAUAGGGCGAGGUCAGGGAAGGUCCCAAACCCAGGAGCUUCUGUUCCCAUGGAGCUGGGGCGUGUCACCCUCCAGGACACGGAUGCGCUCAACAGCCUGGAAGCUCCCUGAACCCCACAUUAUUGGGAUUUUAGGAUGACAUUAUGAGACAAGAUCAGUGAUUAAGUCCAUUUCGAGCCCUUCUCCCUCCUCAAGAGAAUGGAGGGUGGGGGUAUGGAGCUGAAAAUUCCAAAUUUCUAAUCAUGGCUUGUCUUUCCUGUGACCACCCUUCAUCCAGGAGAUAUCCAGGAGCCCACCCGGAUAUCAUCUCAUGAGAACAAAAGGCAUUCCUAACACCCAGGAAAUUACAAGGGUUUAUGAGCUCCAUGCCAGUCACUGGGGGCAUAGACCCACAUAUAUUUUCCAUUACCUUGCAUGCACAUGUCAACGGGCAUGAUCCUCGACAACCUUUUGAGGGAGGCAAGGGUGGUUCCGGUGCUAUUUGGCAGAGAAGAAAAAGGAAUGCUUUCCCUAAUAAGUUUUCCUAAUGAGUGGCAACGCGUUUCUCAUUCCAAGUGUAGAAUGUUUUUGGCUGGGCUGACCUUAUUCCUAGGUAAAGACUAUCGUAUGGCCUUAGGCUCAUUGGGACAAUCUCCAGGCACCAAAUUACUUCUACUUUUCUGCAGUGAUUUUCUGAAAUUCUAUUAUUUCACGUCACUCAUACAUUUGAUUGAAUCGGCACCACUCGAACCCUCACCUUCAAAAUGCGAAGACUCCCGAGCAGGGGGAGUUUCUGGAGGUUGGGCGUCAGGACGUGGCUUAGCUGGGUGCUCUGCUUGGGGUCUUGCAAAGGUACGAGCAGAAUGCUGGCUGGGCCGCGUUCUUUCCUGAACUUGGGAUCUUCUUCCAAGCUCACACGGCUGGAUGUUGGCAGAAUUCAGUUCCUUGUGGUCAGAGAACUGAGCCCCUCGGUUCCUAGAGACAGCCUGUAGCUCCCUGCUGCAUGCCUCUCUCCGCUGCUAUGCUGCAGCUCACAACAUGGCAACUCGCUUCUUCAAGGCCAACCAUAGAUUUUCUCUCUUGAGUCUCUGAGGUGGAGUGUUAGACAGUGUAAUGUCAUCAUGGGAGUGACGUUUUGAGAUUUCACCUGAAAAUCUGGAUCUUUCAGCGAAGAUGGACCCACAUCCUCAGUGGGAAACAGCUGGUGGGUGAGUAGCAGCUGCCCCCUUGGACGUGGAAGGAUCUCUUUCGUUUCCCAGAGUCCACGCCUUCCACCAAUGCUGCGCAUGUUCAGCAGCGAUCUGUUUUAGUCCUGCCGUGUGCCCUCGGGUCUAGCGUGGGCUUUUGAGUUUGUGACCCGGGAUUCUCAUCUGAAGAGACUGAGGAAAUGUUUGACUCCAGGAAAUGGAAUAAGGAGGCUGUGGUUGAAGACAAGGGGUGGGGCUGAAGCCAACAUGGCUCCACACCCUCUCCUGUGUCGAAUUAUAAAAUCAAGAAAGUGGGACUGAACAAAUCUGGGGUCUAUUCCUGGUUCUGCUCUCACAUGGAUGGAUUUUGGUCUAUAAUUUAGUCUCUCUGAGCCUCAGCUUCCUCAGCUGGAAAGCCUCCCUUUCCCCAGAAUUUCUGAUUCAAUUAGGCUUGGGUUGGAGCCUAAGAAUCUGUAAUUUUGACAAGUGCCCAAGGUGACUCAGUGGUCAGGCCAGUUUGCAGGAUGAGUCCAUUCACAACUGGACAUUAGCCAGCAGCUAAGGGAUCAGGAAAUAAGAGCCAGUAUUUUUUUGGAGAAAGUCAUUGACAGUUGGGGCUUACCUAAGCAGGCUAGUUUUCAGGGAAAUAUUCCAGUUCCAGAAAGAAUAUUCCAGGGAAAAAAAUAGAAAAAUAGGAGUUGAGAAUCUGGGAAAUUGAGUCAGAAACUGAACCAUAUAAACCAGGGUGUCAUGGUGGGGUGGGGGGGUGGUGGAAGUGUGUAUGGAGUACACUGGGUCCCCGCCUGCCAGCCUCCUUCCCAGGCUGGCUUCCUACAGUUCAUAGUUGCUUGCUGCAGGGACUGACAACUUGUAUCUUAUAUCUCAAAAUAGUUUGUAAGCUACUGAUGGGGCAGGGCUACCCAGCCCAGCCAAAAGCAGGGGCUCCGUAAAUGCUGGUUGAAUAAGCAAAUCAAUAAAAAGUAAACAUUUGCCAGGGUCUGCUGCUUGGCACUCUCUCACUCCGAAUCCUUCUGAACCUCUCUGAGAACACUGAGAGAGGUUCUCCUCUGUCUCUCAGCAAACUCCUUCUAUUGAACUGAGUACAAUCUAUAGAGAGAUUAUAGUUAACAAGGGGCCCAAUGUAGAGAAAAUCUUUUAUUUCCAGCCAAGAACAAAUCAAGUGCCUCUAAUGUCCUGGUUUGAAAAUGCAAAGCUCUAAUUUGUCAAUGGAAAAAAAAUCCUUUUGGUUUCUGAGUGUCGAAUUCUGGAACACAUUUUCUCAACCAAGGGGGAUUUUUAGUAACUUACAGGUGCAGAAAGUCUCACCGUAGGCAAAUGUGGGUUUUAUCAUUACACGAUCAUGUUUGAAAAUAUAAGAGAAUUAGUCUAAUACAAAUGCUAAUACAAGUAGUCUAAUACAAAUGCUGAUUGUUACAAAGCUUUGUGAUUAAAAGAAAAUGAGAUUUAU